ensembl:lncRNA
GGCAAGGUCUAGGCAAUGGGGGUUAAGUGACUUGCCCAGGGUCACACAGCCAGGAAGUUAUUGAAGUCAUAUUUGAACCCAGGUCCUCUUGAUUCCAGGCCUGGUGCUCUAUCCACUAUGCUACCUAGCUACCACUAGGUAACUCUCCCCUCCCCCCCCACCUAAAACCCUUACCUUUCAUCUUGAAAUCAAUACUGUGUAUUGGUUAUAAGGCAGAAAAAUGGUAAAGGCUAGGCAAUGAGGGCUAAAUGACAUCCAAGAUCAUAUAGCUAGGAAGUAUCUGAGGUCAUAUUUGAACCCAGGGCCUCCUAACUCCAGGUCUGGUGCUCUAUCCACUGUAUUACCUAGCUGCCCCUCAUUAACUCUUUGAUCAGUCCAUUCAUACAUAUGAGUACUGAGUAUAGUGGAAAGAGGGACAGACAUAAUUAGGAGAGAGCAGGUUUAAAUCCUGGUGCUACAUUUAUGUGGCAACUAGGUGGCACAGUAAGUAGAAUACUAAAGAUGGAGUUCAAUCUUUCUCAUAAGUCCCUCAGAAUUGUUGUGGAUCAUUGUAUUGUUGUUAGUAGCAAAGUUUAUCACAUUUGAUCUUCCCACAAUGUUUCAGUUACUAUGUAUAAUGUUCUGGUUCUGCUUAUUUCACUCUGCAUCAGUUCAUGGAGGUCUUUCCAGUUCUUAUAGAAAUCCAUCAAUUCAUCAUUCCUUAUAGCACAAUAGUAUUCCAUCACCAUCAUAUACCACAAUUUGUUAUUCCUUUGAGCACAAUAGUAUUCCAUCACCAACAUAUACCACAAUUUGUUCAGCCAUUCUCCAAUUGAAGGGCAUCCCCUCAUUUUCCAAUUUUUGGCCACCACAAAGAGUGCAGCUAUGAAUAUUCUUGUACAAGUCUUUUUACUUAUUGUCUCUUUGGGGUACAAACCCAGCAAUGCUAUGGCUGGAUCAAAGGGCAGGCAGUCUUUUAUCACCCUUUGGGCAUAGUUCCAAAUUGUCUCUAUGAAGCCUACCUUGACUGCCUUUAGGUGAAAGUGAUCCUUCUCACACCACACCCCUAAUUUCUCCUAGCACUUUGCCUGUAUUACUAAUCACUUAGAUUUUUCUACUUCUUCCUUUUUUUUCAGCUAUAGAGCACCUGUCCUCUCCCUCCCUAUCCCUACCAUUACUUUGUAAGCUUCUCAAAGGCAGAGUGUGAAUCCUUAUAUCUCCGAUAUCAAGCAUUGAGCUUUGUCAUUGGUGCUAAUUGUUAUUCCUCCUUUUUUUUUUCUAGAAAGGACCAAUGGAAUGAUGGGAUGAUGCCUCUCAACUUCUGCAGGAAUGGGAUUUAAGUGAGGCAGAGUUGUCCACAGUCAUCAGCCUUACUCUGUCUUCCAGAAACAUUGAAAUGCCAGGGCAAGACAAAAGUCGGGUUGCCUGGUGAUGGCCACGGAUGGGAUCAAUGACCUUGACUUCUGUGUCUGACCAAGCUCUAAGUGCUCCACAGUGCCUGUUUCAGCUGCCAUGGCUGUUGGAACAAAUUGCACAGCAAAUUCCACAGCAGAAUAAUUGUUUGGGCAAGUGUUAGAAUGGAAUAAGGAGGAGACUAGAUGGAGAUUAGACAAGUAGGCAAAUGUGAAUGAGAUGAGAAGACUGAAAACAGGCCAUGUGGUACUGCUUGAAGAACUUCGAGUUGGUUAUCCUAGAGGAGAGAACAUUAUGGUGUGGGAACAUCUUUGAGAAUCUAAGGGGCUCUCUUGGUGAAGAGGCAUCAGACCACUCUUGUUUGGCCCCAGAGGGAGGAGUAGGGGGAUAGAGAAGGAGAAAGCUGCCAAGAAAUUUGAUGUAAAGAAACACUUCUUACAAGAGCAAGUGAAAAAGGGAAGGGGCUGCCUCUUGUGGUGUGAUGAGCUCUGUGUCACUGGAGGGAGCCAUCUGAAGGCUGGAUGAUGACUUUGUUGUGGUGUACCUGGUCAGGCCCAAGCUGGUUGAGAUGACUUUUGACAUCCUAUUGUAAACCUCAAAUUUCCUUAGACUUAUAAAUGUUGGAAAUUUCACCAUUGGGAUAUUUCAUACUUGAAAAAUUUCUUACUGAUAGUCUAUUGGAAUGGGAACCCCAUUGGCAUGGGAGGUUCUUUCUCUUCCCUUCUUAAGAUUACUUUAGGACAAAAACCCUUUGCUGAACAAUGGAAAGGACUUUGACCUAUGCUUAAGCAUAGAACAGGAAUUUCUUUGAGUCUUGAUUGAUUUUAGAAUUGAUACAAUGGAGAUACUCCACCCUAUUCAGUCCUAAUAGGAUUGAGUAAGGGCUGCAGCCUAGAUCAAAAUUUAAUUAUUCCAAUCUCUACCCUACUCAAGUUAACAGGAUUUAGAAAGGGCUGUAGCAAAGGAGUAAAGAUUUAAUCAUUUGAGAAAUAUGACCUUCAACAGACAUGUGCAAAAGCCAGAAACCUCUGGGUGGUCCUGGGUUAAGCGAGAGCCUCCAUUGACAGGGAAAUUGAUGAAGAGUGAUUGGUAGAUGUGAGGACUGAGGGGAGGCAACUUGGAUGGUUUCCUUAAAGAUAGGAGGGUCUGGAGACUGGAGGAGGUGGUUGAGGUUUGGUCAGUGUGGUUCCUGGGCUCUGAGAGGGCUUGCUCUGAAGGAAGCUGAAGGUGGGGGCCCCUGAGACUGUUUCUCCAUUUUGGACAUGUGAGUAAUAGGGACUGGUCUCUUUUCUUUGCUCCAGCUAUCUAAGGGCUUGGGCCUUUUGGCCCAGCCUAAACAGAAGGGGUAUUUAAGCCCUAUUCCCUUCUCUCCCCUUUCUCUCUCUCUCUCUAUCUCUAAUUCCUUUCUUACUCCUAUUGUAAUUAAACUCCAAAAAAGGCUGACGGCUGACUUGAGUUUUUCAUUUAGGAAUUACAUAGCUGAUUCCUUGGCGACCUUAAAUUAAUAUAUAUCAGUCUUUUAAAGUGAUACCCUGUUUACAUUGUGGCGACCACGAAGGGAUUCGAACCCUCAAUCUUCUGAUGAACACUAUCCAGCUCUCAGAUUCCAUGAUCAAAAAAUUCCAUUAUUUCAGGUGCUCACUAAAUAUUUGAGAAAUGAAUGAAUGGAAGAAAACUAUGCUUAAUAAAUGCUUAUUGAAUUGUUGUAUGUUACCA